AGGACGAACGCUGGCGGCGUGCUUAACACAUGCAAGUCGAGCGGAAAGGCCCUUCGGGGUACUCGAGCGGCGAACGGGUGAGUAACACGUGAGUAACCUGCCCCAAACUUUGGGAUAACCCUCGGAAACGGGGGCUAAUACCGGAUACGACACAGCUUCGCAUGGGGUCUGUGUGGAAAGUUUUUCGGUUGGGAUGGGCUCGCGGCCUAUCAGCUUGUUGGUGGGUGAUGGCCUA
rnacentral:rRNA from 1 species